ensembl:lncRNA
CUUUAACGCUUCGAGGUUUCCUUUGUUCUUGCCGUCGCCUCUGCGCUUGACCCAGACUUUCGCUCUGUAGUUGCUUAGUACUACAAAAAAUUCUAAAUCUGUGAUAUAUGAUUGAUAAACGUAAAGUUAACUGUAUAAACGUGUUCAAUGACUUUGUUACUUUUGAUGAUUGGAGAGCACUCGCUUCAAUUCGCACACGAAAACUUUAGACUCAGUUUGAAUGCUCACGCAGCAUGCCCACGUGACUGUACGUUGCACGCGUACAUGACUUUCCGUUUGUGCCUUGAAUAAUGAAUAAGGCUACGUCCACACGUACCAGCGUAUUUUUGAAACCGCUGAUUUUUCUAUGCAUUUGCACCUUUUGUCCACACGUAAUGUAUGUCUGGCCGUACAUUGUGUUUGUAUUUCCAGGCACAUUUCACAAAGCAGAACGCAGUCUUCAGAGAUAUCCACGUGAACGCUGUGAUACGUCUGACCUUCAGUCCGAAGAAGAAACCCAGACCAGUCUUAAAAGAAAGCACAAACCAAAUCCCCUGUAUACAUAUAGUGACUCAGAGGAUGAGCAGCCUACAAAAAAACUGUUUCCCCAGGCCCCUCGAGUGAAAAUACCAGGUAAUAAAAUACUGUCUAGUGUCUGUGUACAGAUCUGUGUCUGACACGAGGAAACUUUUUUUGACAAGUUGUCUGUAUUCUUAAAUACUUAAAAAAUUAUCUUUUUCUAAACAGCCCUCAUCACUCCAGUCUGCCCCCCAGCCCACUGAUAGCAACCAUCAUAAUGCCCCACCCAGCUUCCGGCACCUUUCGCCACUCCGGCACAAACCGACACAGCUUUGCGAUCUCGCCAGCAUGCAGAGUCUGAUGUCUUCCCUAUAGAUGAUUCCAGAGACUCUGUGAGGCCACUAUUACAAGGUGAGACGCUUUGCGUUGAUUGGUGCUGCUGGACCACACUGGAGGUGCGAGUCCGCCAUGUAAUGGUUUAUGCCAUUACAAAGGAGCUGGCCUCUGUACUCAACUGGGCAGGGGAAAAACAC